CCUACGGGAGGCUGCAGUGGGGGAUAUUGCACAAUGGGGGGAACCCUGAUGCAGCGACGCCGCGUGGGGGAAGAAGCGCCUCGGCGCGUAAAGCUCUGUCAGCAGGGAAGAAAAUGACGGUACCUGAAGAAGAAGCCACGGAUAACUACGUGCAAGCAGCCGCGGGAAUACGCAGGGGGCAAGGGUUAUCCGGAUUUACUGGGUGUAAAGGGGGCGCAGACGGCGUUGCAAGCCAGGAGUGAAAGCGCGGGGCCCAACCCCGGGACUGCUCUUGGAACUGCGGGGCUGGAGUGCAGGAGGGGCAGGCGGAAUUCCUGGUGUAGCGGUGAAAUGCGUAGAGAUCAGGAGGAACACCGGUGGCGAAGGCGGCCUGCUGGACUGCAACUGACGUUGAGGCCCGAAAGCGUGGGGAGCAAACAGGAUUAGAUACCCUGGUAGUC
rnacentral:rRNA from 1 species